CCCUUAGAUGUCCUGGGCCGCACGCGUGCUACACUGAUGCAUACAGCGAGUACUCCCAGCUCCGAGAGGCUGCUGGUAAUCAGCAAUAUGCAUCGUGAUGGGGAUAGAUCUUUGGAAUUAUAGAUCUUGAACGAGGAAUUCCUAGUAAUCGCAGGUCAUCACCCUGCGUUGACUAAGUCCCUGCCCUUUGUACACACCGCCCGUCGCUCCUACCGAUUUCGAGUGAUCCGGUGAAUCAUUCGGACCGCGGCCCCUAGGCAUGCGGAAAGUCUAGUAAACCAGAUCACUUAGAGGAAGGAGAAGUCGUAACA
rnacentral:rRNA from 1 species